rnacentral:rRNA from 1 species
GAUGAACGCUGGCGGCGUGCCUAAUACAUGCAAGUCGAGCGAAUGGAUUAAGAGCUUGCUCUUAUGAAGUUAGCGGCGGACGGGUGAGUAACACGUGGGUAGCCUGCCCAUAAGACUGGGAUAACUCCGGGAAACCGGGGCUAAGACCGGAUAACAUUUUGAACCGCAUGGUUCGAAAUUGAAAGGCGGCUUGGGCUGUCACUUAUGGAUGGACCCGCGUCGCAUUAGAUAGUUGGUGAGGUAACGGCUCACCAAGGCAACGAUGCGUAGCCGACCUGAGAGGGUGAUCGGCCACACUGGGACUGAGCCACGGCCCAGACUCCUACGGGAGGCAGCAGUAGGGAAUCUUCCGCAAUGGACGAAAGUCUGACGGAGCAACGCCGCGUGAGUGAUGAAGGCUUUCGGGUCGUAAAACUCUGUUGUUAGGGAAGAACAAGUGCUAGUUGAAUAAGCUGGCACCUUGACGGUACCUAACCAGAAAGCCACGGCUAACUACGUGCCAGCCGCCGCAGUAA